GACGAACGCUGGCGGCGUGCUUAACACAUGCAAGUCGAACGAUGAUGCCCAGCUUGCUGGGUUGAUUAGUGGCGAACGGGUGAGUAACACGUGAGUAACCUGCCCCUGACUCUGGGAUAAGCGUUGGAAACGACGUCUAAUACUGGAUAUGAUCGCCGGCCGCAUGGUCUGGUGGUGGAAAGAUUUUUUGGUUGGGGAUGGACUCGCGGCCUAUCAGCUUGUUGGUGAGGUAAUGGCUCACCAAGGCGACGACGGGUAGCCGGCCUGAGAGGGUGACCGGCCACACUGGGACUGAGACACGGCCCAGACUCCUACGGGAGGCAGCAGUGGGGAAUAUUGCACAAUGGGCGAAAGCCUGAUGCAGCAACGCCGCGUGAGGGAUGACGGCCUUCGGGUUGUAAACCUCUUUUAGUAGGGAAGAAGCGAAAGUGACGGUACCUGCAGAAAAAGCACCGGCUAACUACGUGC
rnacentral:rRNA from 1 species